rnacentral:rRNA from 1 species
GACGAACGCUGGCGGCGUGCUUAACACAUGCAAGUCGAACGAAGAGCGAUGGAAGCUUGCUUCUAUCAAUCUUAGUGGCGAACGGGUGAGUAACGCGUAAUCAACCUGCCCUUCAGAGGGGGACAACAGUUGGAAACGACUGCUAAUACCGCAUACGAUCCAAUCUCGGCAUCGAGACUGGAUGAAAGGUGGCCUCUAUUUAUAAGCUAUCACUGAAGGAGGGGAUUGCGUCUGAUUAGCUAGUUGGAGGGGUAACGGCCCACCAAGGCGAUGAUCAGUAGCCGGUCUGAGAGGAUGAACGGCCACAUUGGGACUGAGACACGGCCCAGACUCCUACGGGAGGCAGCAGUGGGGAAUCUUCCGCAAUGGACGAAAGUCUGACGGAGCAACGCCGCGUGAGUGAUGACGGCCUUCGGGUUGUAAAGCUCUGUUAAUCGGGACGAAUGGUUCUUGUGCAAAUAGUGCGAGGAUUUGACGGUACCGGAAUA